GACGAACGCUGGCGGCGUGCUUAACACAUGCAAGUCGAACGGUGAAGCGCCUUCCUUUUUGGUGGGUGUGGAUGAGUGGCGAACGGGUGAGUAACACGUGAGUAACCUGCCCCCUUCUUCUGGAUAACCGCAUGAAAGUGUGGCUAAUACGGGAUAUUCUGGGUCUGUCGCAUGAUGGGUCUGGGAAAGAUAUUGUUUCGGUGGGGGAUGGGCUCGCGGCCUAUCAGCUUGUUGGUGGGGUGAUGGCCUACCAAGGCGGUGACGGGUAGCCGGCCUGAGAGGGUGGACGGUCACACUGGGACUGAGACACGGCCCAGACUCCUACGGGAGGCAGCAGUGGGGAAUAUUGCACAAUGGGCGCAAGCCUGAUGCAGCGACGCCGCGGGAGGGAUGGAGGCCUUCGGGUUGUGAGCCUCUUUCGCCAGUGAAGCAGGCCUGCCUCGUUUGUGGGUGGGUUGACGGUAGCUGGAUAAGAAGCGCCGGCUAACUACGUG
rnacentral:rRNA from 1 species